UUUUUUUCUCAAAAAUAUACAGUUGUAUGCAUUGGCAUAGUGACCAUAUUUGAUGAUUAAGAUCAAUAAAUUAAACAGUGAAUUAUAUAAGCACUAAAAGUUAGCUACCUAUUUUGAUCAUGUGGUUUGAAAAAUUUGUCUUCCAGAAGAUCAAUCCAGAAUUACAGAAUUAGAGGAAAUGGACAAUCCAGCUUCCCUUACCACUUGUGGAACAAAGACAUAGAAAGAAGAAUAAACUGAAUUCUGUCUAAGAUUUCCAAAGAACAAUUAUAGGACAUCUAAGUCAUCACGUGGCUGCAACACCAAAAAAGUCAAGACAGAAGAGAAGAACAGGGUAUGUAAGCCAAAGUCACCACAAGCCAAACCAGACCUGGAAAGACAAGAAGAAUCAUCAUUAGAUAAAGCAGAAGCUGCAAUGGAAGAUGAGUUUUUGGAAGAGACUUUUGCCUUUUCACAGGUUUACUAUCUGUUUCUCAUUUCAAAAUUGGGAAAACUGGUGUGUGUGUGUGUGUGUGUGUGUGUGUGUACAAAGGAGGAAGGGAGGUGGGUUAUUUUAUUUUAACACUUUGGAUCUAUAUUAAAAGAUAACAAAAGGUGUAGCUUAAAAGUGCUACUUCAAAAUGUAUAAUCUGGUAUAGGAGAUAUAGUUCAUCAGCUAAUGUUAUGGGUGUUUAUGAAUAGAACAUAAAAUGUAUUAAAGAUAAAAUUAAUGAAUCAUUCAGAAGUUAUGUAUUGAUCAUCUAUAAUUUAUUAAUUUAUUUCAUUCAUCAGAAAUAUAAUAUGGCUUUUAAAUGUUCUUUAUGUGGCAGGAAAUACAAAAUAAAUGCAUGACAUGAACUCUUCCUGGAACUGAG
rnacentral:lncRNA from 1 species